rnacentral:rRNA from 1 species
AGCAGCCGCGGUAAUUCCAGCUCCAAUAGCGUAUAUUAAAGUUGUUGCAGUUAAAAGGCUCGUAGUUGAAUUUCGGGGUUAGUAGGUUGGUCAUGCCUCUGGUAUGUACUGGUCUCACUGAUUCCUCCUUCCUGAUGAACCUUAACGCCAUUAAUUUGGUGUUUGGGAAUUGGACUGUUACUUGAAAAA